rnacentral:rRNA from 1 species
AGCAGCCGCGGUAAUUCCAGCUCCAAUAGCGUAUAUUAAAGUUGUUGCAGUUAAAAAGCUCGUAGUUGAAUUUCGGGGUUAGCAGGUCGGUCGUGCCAUCGGUAUGAACUGGUCUCGCUGAUCCCUCCCUCUUGACGAACUGUGAUGCCAUUAAUUUGGUGUCGCAGGGAAUCAGGACUGUUACUUUGAAAAAAUUAGAGUGUUUAAAGCAGGCUCACGCUUGAAUACAUUAGCAUGGAAUAAUGAAAUAGGACGUUUGAUCCUAUUUUGUUGGUUUCUAGGAUUGACGUAAUGAUUAAUAGGGAUAGUUGGGGGCAUUAGUAUUCAAUUGUCAGAGGUGAAAUUCUUGGAUUUAUUGAAGACUAACUACUGCGAAAGCAUUUGCCAAGGAUGUUUUCGUUAAUCAAGAACGAAAGUUAGGGGAUCGAAGACGAUCAGAUACCGUCGUAGUCUUAACCAUAAACUAUGCCGACUAGGGAUCGGAUGAUGUUAAUUUUUUAAUGACUCAUUCGGCGCCUUACG